AGAGAGAGACAUGCGCGCAUAUCAAUAAGCGGAGGAAAAGAAACUAACAAGGAUUCCCUUAGUAACGGCGAGUGAAGCGGGAAGAGCUCAAAUUUGAAAUCUUCAAGGUUUUACCUUGACGAAUUGUAGUUUAAAGAAGUGUUUUCUGCUGAAGUUUUGGUAAAAGUUCUUUGGAAUAGGACAUCAUAGAGGGUGAGAAUCCCGUAUUUGACCAUUAUUUCCAGCUUUGUGAUACACUUUCAAAGAGUCGGAUUGUUUGGGAAUGCAGUCCAAAAUGGGUGGUAAAUUUCAUCUAAAGCUAAAUAUUGGCGAGAGACCGAUAGCGAACAAGUACCGUGAGGGAAAGAUGAAAAGAACUUUGAAAAGAGAGUUAAACAGUACGUGAAAUUGUCAAAGGGAAGCGUUUGACACCAGUGUUGUUUUCUCGAAAAUCAAUUAAAAAUGGCUCGAUUUUGUAUUGUUGAGACCUUAAAAGCUCACUGUACAUUUUUCGUGUCUUUUUUAAUGCACUUUUCGUUUAACAAGUCAACAGUCAGUUUCUUUUGUUGUAAAAGGGUCAUUGGAAGGUGGCUUUCUUUUCGGAGAAAGUGUUUAUAGCCUUUGGCCUCUGCAAUCGGAGAGACUGAGGUCUGCAGCGUAGACUCUUCGGGGUUAGAUACAUUUGUGCUAAGUUAUAGCUUUUUAUAGACAACUUGUUGACUAUAAUUAGUCUUGUAGCUUACUCGCUUAUGCUAUUUUACCUACGCUUAGGAUGUUGAAGAUGUAGCACAUCAU
rnacentral:rRNA from 1 species